GAAUAUAAGGAUCUUUUAUACAUAAUUCAAGUAAAAAAUUAAUAAGAAAAUUUUAAUUGGUUUCGAAAUUCUAAAUAUUAGCAAACAUAAAGUUCUAUUUCAUUUAGGAUGAAAUCUACUAUUAUGAUCAACAUAAAUUUAUAAUUUGAUAAUUUUAUUUUUAAAAUAAUUAAAAUUAGCCAGACAUCGUUAUAAACAAAAAAAGUACACUAUUUUAUAAAAAAAAAUUAAGAGAUCCAGCCCAACAUAAAGGCCCAAUAUUUUAAGCGGAAAAAAACUACAAAAAGAAAUAUGUAAUCACUAAAAAGGAGAGUAAGUUGAGUGUUCAAUCGUCUUCUUCACCGCAUCACCGACUCAGAGAAGCUUUAUCGGUUGGAGAUUCAUCGGCAUCUCGGUGAAACAAUGUUAGCUAGGAAGUGGAGCUCAGAGUUGAUGAUUUUAUAUUAAAAAAAAAAAAGUGAUAUGGAGGUGUUAAGAGAAGGUGAUAAAACUCAAGACGAAGACUGUGGUAGUAGCAUUACGAACAAGGUUAUAAGUUUGUGCAAUAAUUCUCAAAAUAUUGAGGAGGGGACGCAAUUUAAUCCACAAACUAAGUUAUUGCCACCAUUGAAUGAACCAUUUAAAUCGUUGAGCGUACAAGAAUUGGCUUUCUUUGAUAAGCUUGAUCCUGGAUAUCCACAAGCAUAUAAUGUGAACAAGAAAUCACAAUGAUAUAUAGAAGCAUAUAUGUUAUGUUAUGUUACUUUAAUUUGUCGAAUUAAACUCCUUGCGCUUAUUGAGUACAAGUAUGAAUUUUAAUUUGCUAUUUCAAGAAA